UGUUUUCCUCGCUGUACACCCUUCACUCCCUUCCCCUACCAGCCGGUUCGCGGCGCCUCUUGGAGCUAACCUGUGACCGGCUAGGAGAGGACACGGGAGCGUGGGGUUUAAUCUCAGAUUCGCA
rnacentral:precursor_RNA from 8 species